rnacentral:misc_RNA from 1 species
GUUGCACUUUUUUCUGUUCAGAGAUGGAUCAAUUAUAUAUUCUUUUAACACAUGCAUAUUAAAAUAGUCAGCUGGUGGUUCUCAAGAGCAAAAUGGUGGGCUCAGCUCAUUCUUCAUAAAAACCAGUAGGAACAUCACUAUGCUAUACAGUGGCUAAGUGGUGGUACGAACAUGUAAAGAUUUUUUCGGCAUUUAAAAGAGAGAUUAUCAUGAUCGUACAUUAAGUUGACGAAACCUUUGGUUUCUUUGAUUGAUGGAUGAAUGUGGGGUCUAAUUUGAGUAAAAGGGUCGGAUGGAGCCAAACAAAAUGUGCAGUGGGUGAGGCCCAGUUGUCGCUGUUAUUGUUGGCCAUUUGGCUAUUAUUAUUGCUUAUGUGAAAAUAAAAAUAUUAAUUACAUUUAAAAAAUUACAUAAAAUAUCAAAG